AAACUGCGAUAAGUAGUGUGAAUUGCAUUUAGUGAAUCAUCGAAUCUUUGAACGCACCUUGCACUCACUGGUAUUCCGGUGAGUACGCCUGUUUCAGUAUCAUUGAAAACACACAAUCAAAACAUUUUCUUUGGUUUGAUUGGCUUUGGGUCUAUCAAAAAGUUUGGCUUGUUUCUUACAAGCCAAGCGACCUGAAAUAUAUUGUCUGGCUAAUUGCAUCGUUGAUGAUCGCUAUUAGACUUUGGCUUUUUUAAAUGAACUGGAGGUUGAUUAACCAGUUUUAGCUUUAGUCAAAUGGUCAUUGUAAAAAAAAUCUCGAUCUUGGCUAGGUGUUUAUAGCCGAAAAUUUUUUUUUGGCUAUAACCGAAACCAAUAUAAUCACAUUUAGUUAUCGAUCUGAAAUCAGGUGGGACUACCCGCUGAACUUAAGC
rnacentral:misc_RNA from 1 species